UGUGUCCACACACUCAUGCCUUGUUUCAGGCAAGAAUAGUAAGGAGGUGAAGGAGGAGAGUGCUGAAGAAAGACUGAGGCAGUGGGCGUAUGAAAGAGGCUGCCAGCAGCUCGAGAGGCGCAUUGAAGCUGGGGAUGGAUGUAUUGCUGUGUGGAAAAGGAGAAAAUUCUCCCAGUGAUGGAACUAGCAUUCCGCUGGACCUGGUUCUUUGUGCUGAGGUGGCAGGCUUUCUCCUGAUGACAGGUGGUGGAAGAUCUCCGGAUUCAAAUUCUGAAGCUGCUGCUGAACAGCUAGGACAGAGGAGGGGUAAGCACUCAGUGGAUCUUUUGCUACAUUAUCUCUGCAUACCACGUAAGGUACAGAAGUGCCACAGCUGAGGAGACGUUCAGUCCUCAGAAGUAGUUCUCUAACUGAUCCAGUCAGGCAGGCUGAACUGCAGAAACUGACUUUUUGGGCUCUGUUUAAAGGGGUAACACGGAAUCACAGAAUCAUAGAUAGUCUCAGAUGCUUUGCCAGUGUUGACUGAUGACAUGAGCUGCACCUGAGCCAGCCUUGUGUUUCUGUUAAACUAGGCAGACACUGUGACCGCAGUGCACUCUACCCUGACAAUUAAUAUUAGUUCCAGAGAGCAAGGAAUGGCAGUUGUGUGAGAAUGUGCCUCUACAGAGCAGGUGGAGAAUGUUCAGCUAGAUAAAGCUGUGCAUCUUCUGGCCAUCAUCAGUGCAUCCCAGUAUGGGCCUCAGAAAGCAGUGACCCACAGGAUACACAUGGGUGCUCCAGCAAGGUGGUAACUGGGUCAACUGUUUUCUCCUGCUGAACGUAGC
rnacentral:lncRNA from 1 species